UACGUAGGGGGCAAGCGUUAUCCGGAAUUACUGGGUGUAAAGGGAGCGUAGACGGUAAUGUAAGUCUGGAGUGAAAGGCGGGGGCCCAACCCCCGGACUGCUCUGGAAACUAUGUUACUAGAGUGCAGGAGAGGUAAGCGGAAUUCCUAGUGUAGCGGUGAAAUGCGUAGAUAUUAGGAGGUACACCAGUGGCGAAGGCGGCUUACUGGACUGUAACUGACGUUGAGGCUCGAAAGCGUGGGGAGCAAACAGG
rnacentral:rRNA from 1 species